GACGAACGCUGGCGGCGUGCUUAACACAUGCAAGUCGAACGGAAAGGCCCUGCUUUUGUGGGGUGCUCGAGUGGCGAACGGGUGAGUAACACGUGAGUAACCUGCCCUUGACUUUGGGAUAACUUCAGGAAACUGGGGCUAAUACCGGAUAGGAGCUCCUGCUGCAUGGUGGGGGUUGGAAAGUUUCGGCGGUUGGGAUGGACCCGCGGCUUAUCAGCUUGUUGGUGGGGGAGUGGCUUAACAAGGCUUUGACGGGUAGCCGGCCUGAGAGGGUGACCGGCCACAUUGGGACUGAGAUACGGCCCAGACUCCUACGGGAGGCAGCAGUGGGGAAUAUUGCACAAUGGGCGGAAGCCUGAUGCAGCAACGCCGCGUGCGGGAUGACGGCCUUCGGGUUGUAAACCGCUUUCGCCUGUGACGAAGCGUGAGUGACGGUAAUGGGUAAAGAAGCACCGGCUAACUACGUG
rnacentral:rRNA from 1 species